ACUAAUGUUUUGACUCUUUAAAGGAAGAAAGCUGAGAGCGUGCACUGCAUAUUUAAGAAUCGUUGGAUGUUUACCACACACUCCAGUGGGACAAAUAUUAAUCAAGCAAUCAAGAAAGGACCCUGAAACAUGAGAGAAGAAUAGAACUUGACAUGUGAUCGUUCAAUAUAAUUGAAUAGUCAAGAUUCCUACAAAGAUAUAGUCACACAGACAGUAUUCUAAAAAUAUUGUGUAAAGAGAAUCAUGUCUUCAAAGAGGGAAUUGCAUGGUGGUUUUCAUACUGAUGUGCUGUGGCAAGAAUAAAGUAAGAACUGAGGGAGGAGGAGAACAGGCAGGAAGAAGAGAACAACUGGAAGUUCCUGAAGUCAAGAUAAAAUACACCAUGUACUCCAGCAUCCAAGGACUGUAUCCACGUGGCCCAUGUACCCAGGGUCAUGGACACUUACUUUCUGAGGUUCUCCUAAGCAACCACUAUUAGAACGCACACAAGAUUUGGGACUUCCAAUUGGACCUGAAAAAUGACUUGGCACAGUAGUAUUUAGUGAAGAUUAUGACGGAGUUCCUGCUUCCGGCUAAAGAAGACCAGUGUUUCUUGCUCCUUCUGGGUAGUGAGAGUUAUUUCUUUGCUGGCCCCAGCAGCUCCUCUUACUCCAGUUCUAUGCCACUGGCUCCGAAAAGUUGACAAAUGGCACUUAUUUCCUACUCAUGACCUAGUUUGUAAGAUCAUAAAUCACAGAAAAGUCCAUGUAACUAUUAGUUUGA
rnacentral:sRNA from 1 species